CCCUUAGAUGUCCGGGGCUGCACGCGCGCUACACUGUAGAAAGCAGCGUGCUUUAAAACCUUUCCUGAAAAGGAUGGGUAACCCCAGCAAAAUUCUACGUGCUUGGGAUAGAGAUUUGCAAUUUUCUCUCUUGAACGAGGAAUUCCCAGUAAGUGCGAGUCAUCAGCUCGCGUUGAUUACGUCCCUGCCCUUUGUACACACCGCCCGUCGCUACUACCGAUUGGGAAAAUUUUAGAGAGUCCUUGACUGAUGAUUGUUCGGCUUCACGGCCUUACUUUCGUCGGGAAAGAAUUCGAUAAUAUUUUUCUAGAGGAAGUAAAAGUCGUAACA
rnacentral:rRNA from 1 species